GCACCGCCCCGGUGAAGGCAACGGCAGCCUCUGGCAGGAAAGGUCUCGUCCUGCAUGGCGACAGUACUGUUGGAUCCCAGCACGGUGAUGCCCAGCUCCUUCUGUCUGUCCAGGGUCUGCUGGUACCACUCCUGCAUCGGUACAGACUCAAAGCGUCAGGCCAGGACGUCUUGCUGUCCAGUAGUGAGUCCAGCGUAUGCCUCAGGAGCUCUUCUCUCUCUGGACUGUCCCCGCUGACGAUGUAACAGGAGGAGCGAAUGCAUCUGAAGAAAUCCACACUGACUGUCGCAGAGGAGGCUCCAGAGGGAAUAUAGGCCAAGUCCACAUACACGCUGACUUCCCCAGCAGAGGUAGACUUCAAGCCUGUGACAGGAGAGAGUGAAGGCGUUGACCCCGGGGAGGUUCUCUGUCCCAACGUGAGUCAACAACACCGCAUCAACUCGGUCGAGGUGGCGGACCAGUUUCCAGAAACAGGCCUGGGAGUCCGAGCCGCCGUCCACCAGCACCGUGAACCCGUUAACGGCAAAAAAGGCACAGUCACCGCGGCCGGCGGGGAACACGUAGCAGCAGGGGCGGGACAGCUUGAGGAAGCCCACGGUGGUGGGAGGAGGCAGGAGGUCGAAGGAAGAUGGAGGGGAAAGGGUGCCAGAGAUCAGGGAGGUGAAUUCCCCCAGGGCCUCCAUGGCGGGCAGCACCUCCGGGGGGUUGAUGUGCAGCGUGAAAGGACCCUGCAGAGGCUUGUUUUCCAGGAGAGUCUUCCUCCACUGGCCGAUGUUGGGACAGCUGAGGGUCAGACUGAGCGUGGAGGAGCAGGCAGAGCUCUCUUGAUCUAUGAACUUCAGACAGAGCAUCUUCUCAGCAUACAGCCAACAGAUUUGUGUUCUUUUACACUACUGCAUGUUUUACAAUACUUUAGAGACCAACUGAUUAAUUAGUCUCACCAGUGUUAUAUUUUCACAGAUAGAGUGUCUGCAUGGCAUAGUGUGUCCAGAAUUGUAAAAGAGACAAUUCACUCAGAGGUAAUAAACUGGGAAAAUGUAGAUAAUCUAUCAAUGAUUGCUCCUUAAUUCUGAGGAUUUGCGACUUUUCUCUCUUUUGCAUUUUAUGAGAUGUAAAAAUCUUUUUUGGACCGUUUUGGACUCUUGGUCAGACCAAACCAGCAAUUUGAAAAUGUCACAUCCAGCUUUGGGAAAUUGUGGCUGUUUUGGACUAGACUGUAUUUUUAUAUUUUUACAUACUCAAAGCGAUUUUACAAUACAAGUCUGCAUUCACCCAUUCACACAAUGGUAGCUAGGCCACCUGCUCAUUACGAGCAUUAACACACUCACACAGGUACAGCAUCGGGAGCUAUUUAGGGUUCAGUAUCUUGACCAAGGAUACUUCUUUAUUUCUAUUUCUGUCAUUUAAUUGCCCAAACAAUCAAAAAGAUUCCUUGAUUGCAGAGAGCUAUUGUGAAAAUAACUGUUAAUUCAAGCCCAUAUUUCUAGAUUUUCUAGAUUUCUGUCCAAGAUUACUGAACAUUUCUUAUCGGCAAAGAAAUAAAGGUCAGAGAGAGACGGUGUCGUACCUGCUCUGUUAGUAUUUGUUUCAGUUGGUGUGGUGAGAACAGGCCUCUGUGAAACAGCACGUCUCCACUUUCCUCCUCACUCUGACCGGCCAAGAUCAACAGCUUAUAGGCCGAUUCCCUGGACAGCAGAGCGAACACCUGACCGAGCCACAGAUGGAAAGAUUAUUCCCCCAUAAUCCAGAGUGAAAGGACAGCGUGAGAGACAAAAGAAACAGAAAGAGAAGAAUCAAAGAAUGACACAUAGUAUGCCAAUACAUCCUCUACUAAUACACUAAUACAUAGUCAUUGUAUACUGAUACUGUCCAUAAGAGGUUUUUUGAGGUUUAUCAGCAUAAAUGUACUUGACUUGACUUGUACUCUUUUCAAGCAAAUAAAUUUAACCAUUUGGAGACAACAGCUCCUUAAAUGUGACUACUUUCUCUGCUUCCUCUGCUUUU